rnacentral:rRNA from 1 species
AUUGAACGCUGGCGGCAGGCCUAACACAUGCAAGUCGAGCGGAUGAAGGGAGCUUGCUCCUGGAUUCAGCGGCGGACGGGUGAGUAAUGCCUAGGAAUCUGCCUGGUAGUGGGGGAUAACGUCCGGAAACGGGCGCUAAUACCGCAUACGUCUUGAGGGAGAAAGUGGGGGAUCUUCGGACCUCACGCUAUCAGAUGAGCCUAGGUCGGAUUAGCUAGUUGGUGGGGUAAAGGCCUACCAAGGCGACGAUCCGUAACUGGUCUGAGAGGAUGAUCAGUCACACUGGAACUGAGACACGGUCCAGACUCCUACGGGAGGCAGCAGUGGGGAAUAUUGGACAAUGGGCGAAAGCCUGAUCCAGCCAUGCCGCGUGUGUGAAGAAGGUCUUCGGAUUGUAAAGCACUUUAAGUUGGGAGGAAGGGCAGUAGGUUAAUACCUUGCUGUUUUGACGUUACCAACAGAAUAAGCACCGGCUAACUUCGUG